rnacentral:rRNA from 1 species
UACGAAGGGGGCUAGCGUUGCUCGGAAUCACUGGGCGUAAAGGGCGCGUAGGCGGCCAGCACAAGUCAGUUGUGAAAUCUCCGGGCUUAACUCGGAAAGGUCAACUGAUACUGUGCGGCUAGAGUGCGGAAGGGGCAACUGGAAUUCUCGGUGUAGCGGUGAAAUGCGCAGAUAUCGGGAAGAACACCCGUGGCGAAGGCGGCUCUCUGGGACGGUACUGACGCUGAGACGCGAAAGCGUGGGGAGCGAACAGG